rnacentral:rRNA from 1 species
GAUGAACGCUGGCGGCGUGCCUAAUACAUGCAAGUCGAGCGAACAGACGAGGAGCUUGCUCCUCUGACGUUAGCGGCGGACGGGUGAGUAACACGUGGAUAACCUACCUAUAAGACUGGGAUAACUUCGGGAAACCGGAGCUAAUACCGGAUAAUAUAUUGAACCGCAUGGUUCAAUAGUGAAAGACGGUUUUGCUGUCACUUAUAGAUGGAUCCGCGCCGCAUUAGCUAGUUGGUAAGGUAACGGCUUACCAAGGCAACGAUGCGUAGCCGACCUGAGAGGGGGAUCGGCCACACUGGAACUGAGACACGGUCCAGACGCCUACGGGAGGCAGCAGUAGGGAAUCUGCCGCAAUGGGCGAAAGCCUGGCGGAGCAACGCCGCGUGAGUGAUGGAGGUCUUCGGAUCGUAAAACUCUGUUAUUAGGGAAGAACAAAUGUGUAAGUAACUAUGCACGUCUUGACGGUACCUAAUCAGAAAGCCACGGCUAACUACGUG